rnacentral:rRNA from 1 species
AAAUUGAAGAGUUUGAUCAUGGCUCAGAUUGAACGCUGGCGGCAGGCCUAACACAUGCAAGUCGAACGGUAACAGGAAGCAGCUUGCUGCUUCGCUGACGAGUGGCGGACGGGUGAGUAAUGUCUGGGAAACUGCCUGAUGGAGGGGGAUAACUACUGGAAACGGUGGCUAAUACCGCAUAACGUCGCAAGACCAAAGAGGGGGACCUUCGGGCCUCUUGCCAUCAGAUGUGCCCAGAUGGGAUUAGCUUGUUGGUGAGGUAACGGCUCACCAAGGCGACGAUCCCUAGCUGGUCUGAGAGGAUGACCAGCCACACUGGAACUGAGACACGGUCCAGACUCCUACGGGAGGCAGCAGUGGGGAAUAUUGCACAAUGGGCGCAAGCCUGAUGCAGCCAUGCCGCGUGUAUGAAGAAGGCCUUCGGGUUGUAAAGUACUUUCAGCGGGGAGGAAGGUGUUGCGGUUAAUAACCGCAGCAAUUGACGUUACCCGCAGAAGAAGCACCGGCUAACUCCGUGCC